CUCGUAGGCGGCCAACUAAGUCAUACGUGAAAUCCCUCAGCUUAACUGGGGAACUGCGUGUGAUACUGGAUGGCUUGGAUUUGGGAGAGGGAUGCGGAAUUCCAGGUGUAGCGGUGAAAUGCGUAGAUAUCUGGAGGAACACCGGUGGCGAAGGCGGCAUCCUGGACCAAUAUUGACGCUGAGGAGCGAAAGCCAGGGAGCAAC
rnacentral:rRNA from 1 species